CGAACGGGUGAGUAAUACAUCGGAACGUGCCCAGUCGUGGGGGAUAACUACUCGAAAGAGUAGCUAAUACCGCAUACGAUCUGAGGAUGAAAGCGGGGGGACCUUCGGGCCUCGCGCGAUUGGAGCGGCCGAUGGCAGAUUAGGUAGUUGGUGGGAUAAAAGCUUACCAAGCCGACGAUCUGUAGCUGGUCUGAGAGGACGACCAGCCACACUGGGACUGAGACACGGCCCAGACUCCUACGGGAGGCAGCAGGU
rnacentral:rRNA from 1 species